GUCUACGGCCAGGCCACCUUGAACGUGCCCGAUCUUGUAUGAUCUUGGAAGCUAAGCAGGGUCGGGCCUGUUUAGUACUUGGAGACCACCUAGGAAGACCAGGUACUGUAGGUG
rnacentral:rRNA from 1 species